GGGAAGUCGGUGUGAAUCCGACGCGGUACCCGCCACUGUGACCGCUUCACGCGGCAGCCAGACC
rnacentral:ncRNA from 1 species